CUUAUCAAGAGCGGUGGAGGGAUCGGCCCAAUGAAACCCGGCAACCUGCGUGUGCGCAAGGUGCCAAAUCCGGCGGUAGUACGUAAAGAUGAG
rnacentral:ncRNA from 1 species